GACGAACGCUGGCGGCGUGCUUAACACAUGCAAGUCGAACGGAAAGGCCCUGCUUUUGUGGGGUGCUCGAGUGGCGAACGGGUGAGUAACACGUGAGUAACCUGCCCUUGACUUUGGGAUAACUUCAGGAAACUGGGGCUAAUACCGGAUAGGAGCUCCUGCUGCAUGGUGGGGGUUGGAAAGUUUCGGCGGUUGGGGAUGGACUCGCGGCUUAUCAGCUUGUUGGUGGGGUAGUGGCUUACCAAGGCUUUGACGGGUAGCCGGCCUGAGAGGGUGGCCGGCCACAUUGGGACUGAGAUACGGCCCAGAAUCCUACGGGAGGCAGCAGUGGGGAAUAUUGCACAAUGGGCGGAAGCCUGAUGCAGCAACGCCGCGUGCGGGAUGACGGCCUUCGGGUUGUAAACCGCUUUCGCCGGUGACGAAGCGUGAGUGACGGUAAUGGGUAAAGAAGCACCGGCUAACUACGUG
rnacentral:rRNA from 1 species